rnacentral:rRNA from 1 species
UACGUAGGUGGCAAGCGUUGUCCGGAUUUACUGGGCGUAAAGCGUGCGUAGGUGGUUCGUUAAGUCUGUCGUGAAAGCCCCGGGCUCAACCUGGGAAUGGCGAUGGAUACUGGCGGGCUAGAGUGCGGUAGAGGGUGGUGGAAUUCCCGGUGUAGCAGUGAAAUGCGUAGAGAUCGGGAGGAACAUCAGUUGCGAAGGCGGCCACCUGGACCAGCACUGACACUGAGGCACGAAAGCGUGGGGAGCAAACAGG